rnacentral:rRNA from 1 species
GACGAACGCUGGCGGCGUGCUUAACACAUGCAAGUCGAACGGAAAGGCCCUGCUUUUGUGGGGUGCUCGAGUGGCGAACGGGUGAGUAACACGUGAGUAACCUGCCCUUGACUUUGGGAUAACUUCAGGAAACUGGGGCUAAUACCGGAUAGGAGCUCCUGCUGCAUGGUGGGGGUUGGAAAGUUUCGGCGGUUGGGGAUGGACUCGCGGCUUAUCAGCUUGUUGGUGGGGUAGUGGCUUACCAAGGCUUUGACGGGUAGCCGGCCUGUGAGGGUGAACGGCAACAUUGGGACUGAGAUACGGCCCAGACUCCUACGGGAGGCAGAAGUGGGGAAUAUUGCACAAUGGGCGGGAGCCUGAUGCAGCAACGCCGCGGGCGGGAUGACGGCCUUCGGGUUGUAAACCGCUUUCGCCUGUGACGAAGCGUGAGUGACGGUAAUGGGUAAAGAAGCACCGGCUAGCUACGUG